rnacentral:tmRNA from 1 species
GGGGGUGUCUGGUUUCGACUGGGAAACGUAGAUUGAUGUUGCGUAUCGGAGAUGAUGGUUGGCUCCGUAAAAAUCCAUCAAAAGAUAUAAAUGGCAAAGAUAAAAAUAAUGUCAUAGCGGCUAACUUCGGUGACGAAGUUGUCGCCCUUGCUGCCUAAUUGCAGCACAUCGACCGGUUUGAUUCUCGCUAGAUCCGAUUCGGUGUGUGAACAGCGAGAAACAUUGGAAUUGAGCACUCAGGGUUCCAAUGUAAUUAAACUGUGUGCUAGUUGGCGUAAAUUUGUCGACGGAUUUGCGCCCAUGAAUCCAAUCAUCGACUAUAUGCGUAGAUACAUCCUUUGAAAUUUUGCAGGACGCGGGUUCGACUCCCGCCACCUCCACCU